rnacentral:other from 1 species
UACAUCCUGAAAUGUGCGAAGCCCCUUUUUAUUUUGAACCUACAUUGAUUUUUACGGGAUUCCUAUAUUGCAGGUAGGAUGUCAGGCCUCUCGUCGUGGAAGGCAGAAUAUCUGUUGCGGUUGCCCACCUAGCUUCGGCUAGGCGUCAAAAUAAGGGAACGGCAUUUUGGGAUAGGA